AUGGCCGUGCGCAACCUCGCCGCGGCAGAGGCCGUGCGCCAGGUCGUCCUUGCCGAGACCCCCGUCGCCAGCCUCAACCUGAUAGAGCUGGACCUCUCCCCACUGACCUCCAUCCGCAACUUCGCCGCCAACUUCGCCGACAGGGGCCUACCGCUGAACAUCCUCAUGUGCGUACGCCCUACCCCUUUCGUUCAUUCAUUCAGGUUCAGUUAG
rnacentral:rRNA from 1 species